rnacentral:rRNA from 1 species
AACGAACGCUGGCGGCAGGCCUAACACAUGCAAGUCGAACGCCGUAGCAAUACGGAGUGGCAGACGGGUGAGUAACGCGUGGGAACAUACCCUUCGGUUCGGAAUAACUCAGGGAAACUUGAGCUAAUACCGGAUACGUCCAAGGUCAAACUUGGAGAAAGAUUUAUCGCCGGAGGAUUGGCCCGCGUCUGAUUAGCUUGUUGGUGAGGUAAUGGCUCACCAAGGCGACGAUCAGUAGCUGGUCUGAGAGAAUGAUCAGCCACAUUGGGACUGAGACACGGCCCAGACUCCUACGGGAGGCAGCAGUGGGGAAUUUUGGGACAAUGGGCGCAAGCCUGAUCCAGCCAUGCCGCGUGCGGGAUGAAGGCC